rnacentral:rRNA from 1 species
UACGUAGGUGGCAAGCGUUGUCCGGAAUUACUGGGCGUAAAGCGUGCGCAGGCGGCUUCUCAAGUCAGGGGUGAAAGCCCAGAGCUCAACUCUGGAAUUGCCUUUGAGACUGAGUGGCUUGAGUACGGGAGAGGUGAGUGGAAUUCCCAGUGUAGAGGUGAAAUUCGUAGAUAUUGGGAAGAACACCGGUGGCGAAGGCGGCUCACUGGCCCGUAACUGACGCUCAUGCACGACAGCGUGGGGAUCAAACAGG